UGUUACCAUGGCGACGGUAUUGUUGUUGUUACCAUGGCGACGGUGGGGCGUGCACCAAGGGGCAUCUACGGCGACUCAGAUGAUUGCAAAUUCACCGCUUUGAACGGGACGGUCUUUCUAAAGCCCAAACCACACACAACAAAACCAUUAUCAAGUCGACCCGUGGCACCUGCUGGGUCUGCCCCGUGACCUCCUGCCAGCGGGCAUUCGACACUUCACGUGGCCGCAAGACUCAGCCUUAAAAAACGAGCACUUGGUGCGAUGUGGAAGGAAAGAAAACAAACCCAGCAGCAGCAUUUGUGGUGUUCCGGCCACACCAACAUCCUCAUGAGUUGACCUUCAUAUAGGGGCCGUCCAUAAAUGUGGCGCUGCACUCUGUUGUAGGAGAAAACAUGUAUUAAAAAGUAUAUUAAAUUAAGUAGAAUGUCUUGUGUAUAUUUAUUACAAUUUGUGAUGUGACGUCACAUUUCUCACAAAUGUCUGACCCCCCACCUAGGUGCGUGACGUCAUUUAUGGACGGCCCCAUAGCUGCAUACCUGUCAACCCCUUAUCAAUGCCUCUUAUUAAAGACCAAUUCAGACAUUAUUGGUCACCCCGUGUCCCUUAUAAAUCUCAACGUUCAUCCUACAAAGUUCCAAUCAUCACAAGGGAGAAACACAAACAAAUAUAUAUUCUUAGG